CCUAACACAUGCAAGCCGAGCGGUAGAGGUCCUUCGGGACCUUGAGAGCGGCGCACGGGUGCGGAACACGUGUGCAACCUGCCUUUAUCUGGGGGAUAGCCUUUCGAAAGGAAGAUUAAUACCCCAUAAUAUAUCAGAUGGCAUCAUUUGAUAUUGAAAACUCCGGUGGAUAGAGAUGGGCACGCGCAAGAUUAGAUAGUUGGUAGGGUAACGGCCUACCAAGUCGAUGAUCUUUAGGGGGCCUGAGAGGGUGAUCCCCCACACUGGUACUGAGACACGGACCAGACUCCUACGGGAGGCAGCAGUGAGGAAUAUUGGACAAUGGGUGAGAGCCUGAUCCAGCCAUCCCGCGUGAAGGACGACGGCCCUAUGGGUUGUAAACUUCUUUUGUACAGGGAUAAACCUUUCCACGUGUGGAAAGC
rnacentral:rRNA from 2 species